UGGAAAAAACAGUAUUUUAUUAAAUAUUUUUUUCUUUUUAGUGAUAAGAUGUUUCCAGCUUUUGGUUUUGGCGCUCAGAUACCUCCUCAGUGGCAGGUAUCACAUGAAUUUCCAAUGAACUUCAACCCAUCCAAUCCCUACUGCAAUGGUAAGUUAAAAAAUAAACAUGAAGACUUCAAAUGGAAAGGCUCACUAGUCUUUGUUAUUUUGUUCUUUGUUCUUUGUUUUUUUUCUUGUGAUUAAAACUACUCAAAUUUCAUCUCUAGGUUUCAUUUUCUUACAUAUUUAACUUUCUGUUGUAUAAGGUAGAAGAAUUGCACCAGGUUGGUGGUUAGGGUGGUAAUGGUAAUUACGGGGCAAAUCAGUAUUAUGAUGAUGAAGGUGGUAAGCUAAAUCCUCCUACCUUAAGAACUUUAAUAGGACAAA
rnacentral:lncRNA from 1 species